AAGUCCAAAACACAUUUAACUUUGGAGACAGGUGGCUUUGGGGCUCUACCACUCAGUUCUUUGUCCAGACUCUCACCUAUCAAGUCAAGAAAAGGUUUUAAGCCAAUGAAACGUGACUAUCCAGCAAGCCUUUCUUCUGUCAGCUACUGCAGGGAUAGGGAUAAUUGGAGGAUAACAGGGACCAUCUUACCAUUGUGCUCAGCAUGGACAUCUGAACGUGGCUGCUCACCAUUAGAGCUCCCCUGACCUGCGUCUCCCCAAGCUGUGCUGUGGAAAGCCAUGAGACUCCUCCUGAACUGCUGAGGUGAUCAAAUGACUGGAGAGAACUGUAUUUUCUUUAUUAGAUGAAUACAGUUCCUGGAGCCUCUUAGGUACAACUUCUGAAACUGCAUGAGAAGCAUCUGAAUGCUGAACAACCACUGAGGAGAGUGAAUCUACUGGCCCAACCUCACUGUCUCCUGAACAUCUUUCUUUAUAUAAAAGUAAUGUCUCUUGAGCAUCAUGUCUAGGCUGAAUCAUACCCCUCUGAAUAGUCAGCUGUUCUUGAAGCAAAUUUAAAGUAUUCUGGAGAGGUAGGGUCUGCUGUAGAAAACCUGAAGAUCCAUCCUGAGCUCUUGAGACUUCAGACUGGCUUGGGAGUAGUCCUUUCUUGUUUGUAGGUAAAGGCUGUUUCUGGAUUUUGCUAGGUUGAGUAUCAGCGAAUGUUAGUGAACUAAAUGACUGCUGAGCCACCUGAUGUGGCCAAGAAGACCCAGCUUGUUCAGAAUGUACAAUUUUAUCCAGCUUACUUUGUGUAUGUGCAAACAAGACCUCCUGGGCUUCCCGCCUAGCCUGGAGGUUAUCCUUCUCAACACUGAACUGCUCUUGGGGAAAUUCUAAAUUAGUUUGCUGUGAUGAGAUGGGUUGUGAAGAAUCCCAAAGCCUGUCCAUAUUGUCUGAGGAAACAGUGGCAUCACUUUUUGUUGAAGAUGACUGAAAGUUUCCUGAUUCAGCUGAGGCAGAGGGCAAUGAAGGAAAUAUAUUUCCAACCGGUGAAGGGAGGAAUACUGGGAGACCAGUCUGCUGUUCCAGUUUUUUCUGUGUGCAUAAAAGCACCUUUUCCUGAGCCUCUUGUCUUGCCUGAAGAACUUUCUUCUGUAGUUCUAACUGUUCUUGAAGAAAUCUUAAGUCAUCCUGCUGAGCUGUAAUAGUCUCUGAGGAUGACAAAGGUUGAUCAUGCAUUUGACUGACUACAGACUGGUUUAUGGUUGUAAAGGGUUUCUGAAUUGUUCCAGAUUCGAGUUUAACUGGGAGACUAGUAAAAGGGCAUUCAGGUACCAGUGGGAGAAAAGAUGGUUCAGUUGGCUUAGAAGAUAUAGUUUCACUAUCCUCUGAUGAUAUCUGUUGGGAAUCUAAACUCUGACAAAUUAUUGCCCUAGGUGGUUUAGAUACUUCUCUAGCAUCUUGUAAUGUUUGUGGCCUAACAUAAGACAAAGUCCUUGAAAGUGAAUGAGAAUCUUUAAGGACGAACUCAUAGUCUCUCUGAUGUGUUUCCACCUGAGAGACCUGCCACUGACGUUCUUGUGACUCCAUAGGCUGCUUAGAUAACAUCUCUGAUACAGUCGUUUUUCCUUGCCUCUGUGGAAUGUGACGGUGUCUUGGUACCUGAAUAUGACUCUGCUCUAAUGCAGGGAUCUGUGAGGGUUGCACAGGUUGAUAUUUGCUGGGACUUAGUUUCAGUCUCUGGCUUGGCUCCCAAUAGUCUGAAGCAGCAGCAGCAGGCUUUUGGGAUUGCUGUGGUGGCCCUGACACAACAGAAUCAGGUACUAGUGCUGCGGCUGACAGGGAUGGGAAUCUUUCUUUUAAUAUAGUUUGGUAUUCGAGUAAUCGUUUCCUGGCAGUUUCAACAGUCUGCUUGUGUAACCUAUCAAGAACAAAUAAAAAAACAAAUACUAUUAAAUUUU
ensembl:processed_transcript Gm16568 predicted gene 16568